GUUUCUUUUUAGUCUCCAUUUUUGGACGUGUAGUGCCUAUCUGUGCAUGGGGUUUCGUUGGGUCUCUUCUCUUGGUAUUAAUGUGAUGCUUUGGAGAUGUGUGUUCUGCUUGUGUGCAGGUUUAGUAUAUGAGUUCUAGGGGCCUCAUUGCUUCGCUAGCAUUUCAAGGGUAGCUCUAGUCCCGUUGGAGUGGUUGCUGAGUUCUACUCCCUUUGGCUAUAUGAGAGUGAGACACCUGAGUAACGCAAAGCUUUCCCGAUUGUGCCAGUAUUUGCAUGGUCUUGGCUCAUCAAUUCGUCUUGUGCCUGCUUCUCCACCUGUCUGUGCCUGGUAUUCAUAAUGUUUGGGGAACAAUUGUUUGGUUCUAGGUUGGUUGUUUAGCCUACAUGUACUUUGAUUUGGUUGAGUUUCCUCUUUUGCCUUCCUUGCGUAUUUGUUCUGUGGUAUUAGUAAGCUAGAGCAAUAGUGGUGGGGAACGGCUUUGGAACAUGUAAAUUUGUUGCUGUCAAUGAAUAUUGUAUUUCUGAUUAAAAAAAAAAAUUGAAACUUCUUCCUGGAGAAAGAGAAAAUCUCUGC
rnacentral:misc_RNA from 1 species